GACGAACGCUGGCGGCGUGCUUAACACAUGCAAGUCGAACGGAAAGGCCCUGCUUUUGUGGGGUGCUCGAGUGGCGAACGGGUGAGUAACACGUGAGUAACCUGCCCUUGACUUUGGGAUAACUUCAGGAAACUGGGGCUAAUACCGGAUAGGAGCUCCUGCUGCAUGGUGGGGGUUGGAGAGUUUCGGCGGUUGGGGAUGGACUCGCGGCUUAUCAGCUUGUUGGUGGGGUAGUGGCUUACCAAGGCUUUGACGGGUAGCCGGCCUGAGAGGGUGACCGGCCACAUUGGGACUGAGAUACGGCCCAGACCCCUACGGGAGGCAGCAGUGGGGAAUAUUGCACAAUGGGCGGAAGCCUGAUGCAGCAACGCCGCGUGCGGGAUGACGGCCUUCGGGUUGUAAACCGCUUUCGCCUGUGACGAAGCGUGAGUGACGGUAAUGGGUAAAGAAGCACCGGCUAACUACGUG
rnacentral:rRNA from 1 species